UUGGGGAUUUAAUGGCAAUAGUGUGGA
rnacentral:piRNA from 1 species